GUGAACGCUGGCGGUAGGCCUAACCCCUGCCAGUCGAACGGCAGCACAGUAAGAGCUUGCUCUUACGGGUGGCGAGUGGCGGACGGGUGAGGAAUACAUCGGAAUCUACUUUUUCGUGGGGGAUAACGUGGGGAAACUUACGCUAAUACCGCAUACGACCUACGGGUGAAAGCAGGGGAUCUUCGGACCUUGCGCGAUUGAAUGAGCCGAUGUCGGAUUAGCUAGUUGGCGGGGUAAAGGCCCACCAAGGCGACGAUCCGUAGCUGGUCUGAGAGGAUGAUCAGCCACACUGGAACUGAGACACGGUCCAGACUCCUACGGGAGGCAGCAGUGGGGAAUAUUGGACAAUGGGCGCAAGCCUGAUCCAGCCAUACCGCGUGGGUGAAGAAGGCCUUCGGGUUGUAAAGCCCUUUUGUUGGGAAAGAAAAGCAGCAGGUUAAUACCCCGCUGUUCUGACGGUACCCAAAGAAUAAGCACCGGCUAACUUCGUG
rnacentral:rRNA from 1 species